GCAUAGCAACGCGAGCGGCGUGAUCGGCGCUCGUGCAGCCCGAGACGCACAACACUGGACGAUGCUGGAACGGCUAUCGCGCCGUUCUGUCGUCGCAGGAGGGUCGUCCUGCUAGUUGACUUUGCUGCAGCAACGAUACACUCUUGAGCCCUGGUUUCGUCAGCGCAGAACUAUGCCACGUCAACCUGGCAGGAUGAAACAGCGCCUUUAGGAGUCCCAGGAUUUCGAGAUCCGACGACAGAUGGUGUUGGAUGUUACAGCACUCGAUCGUUUUUUCGAUGCAGGCAAGAACACUGCCGAAAAUACCAGGACCAGCCCACGACGUCGUCUUUAAACACCAGCUGCACACUCCACUGAGGUACAGGGACUAAAAAGGACGUCGCAGCAGAAGUACAAGCGAAUUCGAGCACCAGCAGUGCUGAAACCUCCGGCGCUGGAAGCCAACGGAACUCUCGCACAACAGCCACGCAAGUUAUAGAAAAUGCCGCCUAGCUGAUGUGUUGCUAGGCUAGAAGUCCAGAAUAAAUUGAUGCAUGCCACGCACACACACACAUA